rnacentral:lncRNA from 1 species
ACAAUUUCAUACUGAGCUCAAAUACAAAUAGCCAAAGGCUAACAAAAUACAUCGGUACCAUGAUGUAUACAAAUCAAAUCGGAUAGUACGCACGACACAUACGUCACUAAUCCGCCAAACAAAUCGAAUCAAAUCAAAUACUGGUUCGACCCAUACGUAUCCUGAACAAAUAUAUCAAAUGGCCAAAGCUCAUACCCAGAGCAUACAAAAG